UGCAGUGGCGUGAUCUGGGCUCACCUCCCUGGUUCAAGCGAUUGUCCCGCCUCAGCCUCCCAAGGCUGGGAUUACAGACAGGGUUUCACCAUGUGGGCCAGGCUGGUCUUGAACUCCCAACCUCAAGUGAUCCACCCACCUUGUUCUCCCAAAGUGCUGAGAUUACAGGUGUGAGCCACCAUGCCCAGCCUGUUCCUAACCCUUUCAACUGGGGGGUCUCAAGUGGGUGAGGACUCCGUGGCCACGGCAGCAGAACUGUCUCUUCUGAAAACCAGACUCCGGGGCCCCUGGGUCAGCACCUCUAGGUCAUUCCACAGACUUACACAGUUUAAAGAAAGAGCCAGCGAACAUGGGGUGAUCCUGGGGUGCCAUUGGGAUCCCAAGCCAGGCCUGGAGGUCUGCCUGUUUCGUCCCCAGAAACUUGAGCUGGCAUCCUCCGCUGGUUUGCACUGGGCACGGGGACUGGAGAGCCACGAGGCCACUGAGCGCAGCAUGCUAUCACUUCUCAGGAAGUUGUGAGGGUGAGGAGAAUAGCCGGGCCCACUCUGCAGAGGGGAGGAACAGGCACAGGCUAGAGGCACGGGCUGAUAGAGUGAGUCCUCUCCCUCAUUCAUUCAUUCAUUCAUUCAUUCAUCCAUCAGACACCUGCUGGGCAUCUGCUGUGUGCGAGACACUGUGCUGGGUGCCCCAGACACGAGACAGAAACUCGGGUCGCCCUGUGUGCCUCCACACUGGCCUUCCCUGCUGCGUGGACGCAGGCUCUGUCUCCUAGGCUUUAAGCCCCAUGCAUCAGGUGGAAGACAAUUUCCAGCGGCCUCUGCCCGCUUGUUUUUCCUCCUCUCCUUUUCCUGCCGCCUUGGUCUUUUUUGUCUUUUGUGCAGGGCCGUCUCUCGCAGCGCCCGUCUGUGCUCCGCAGCGUCUAGGAAAGGAUUAGUGUGAGCAGAGCAUGCAGGCUUUGGUGAACAGAGCCGAGCUUGGUUUCAACAUCUAAUUCAAUUUGUUCUGCCGAGAUUGAAAUAUGAAAUGGUUGCCAGUCAAACGUUCAAAGGACGGGGAAGGGAGAGUGAGCGCCUGCUGAAAUUUAAAUUUUAAUGAAAAUGACUUUAACCCUUUGGUACACCUUGCAAAAUGUAACCCAUCCUCCCAUCCUGUGAAAGCGGCCUCUCGGGUUAGAGCUUUCCACCCACUUCUCUUCCACUGAGCUUCACUAAUAAUAUGUAAUCAUUUUUUUCAGCCGUCUUAACAAUAAAAGAUUAAUAGAAUG
rnacentral:sRNA from 1 species